CCUACGGGUGGCAGCAGUGGGGAAUAUUGGACAAUGGGGGGAACCCUGAUCCAGCCAUGCCGCGUGUGUGAAGGAGGCCCUCGGGUUGUAAAGCACUUUCAGUGAGGAAGAACGCCUGGUGGUUAAUACCCAUCAGGAAAGACAUCACUCACAGAAGAAGCACCGGCUAACUCCGUGCCAGCAGCCGCGGUAAUACGGAGGGUGCGAGCGUUAAUCGGAAUUACUGGGCGUAAAGCGCGCGUAGGUGGCUUGAUAAGCCGGUUGUGAAAGCCCCGGGCUCAACCUGGGAACGGCAUCCGGAACUGUCAAGCUAGAGUGCAGGAGAGGAAGGUAGAAUUCCCGGUGUAGCGGUGAAAUGCGUAGAGAUCGGGAGGAAUACCAGUGGCGAAGGCGGCCUUCUGGACUGACACUGACACUGAGGUGCGAAAGCGUGGGUAGCAAACAGGAUUAGAUACCCUAGUAGUC
rnacentral:rRNA from 1 species